AGCAGUAGCCGCGGUAAUACGGAGGGUGCAAGCGUUAAUCGGAAUUACUGGGCGUAAAGCGCACGCAGGCGGUCUGUCAAGUCAGAUGUGAAAUCCCCGGGCUUAACCUGGGAACUGCAUUUGAAACUGUCAGGCUGGAGUCUUGUAGAGGGGGGUGGAAUUCCAGGUGUAGCGGUGAAAUGCGUAGAGAUCUGGAGGAAUACCGGUGGCGAAGGCGGCCCCCUGGACAAAGACUGACGCUCAGGUGCGAAAGCGUGGGGAGCAAACAGGAUUAGAGACCCGUGUAGUCCCUGUCUCUUAUAA
rnacentral:rRNA from 1 species